rnacentral:miRNA from 1 species
UAUGGCAUUUAUCUUGAUAAAG